UUGUCGCCAUGACACUUUUGUGUUGUUGGAGAAAAAACAAAGAAAAAUGAUGAUAAAAGAGAAAUGAAAAAGUUGAGUCGAAACGCUAGGUAAAAACAAAGAAAUAUGUGACAUUUGACAGUAAUACAGCACUUAAAGUUCAGGCAAGUUGUGCUCAGAAAACAUGAUCUACCCAGUUUAGACAACAGUUAGCAGUUAUAAUUUGCCUCAGAGUCAGAUAUCACUCCUUAUGGAGAAAUAAUUGUGAAACACAGAUGAAGUGUCUAGAAAGGUGUGACACAAACAAUAAUGACAAGACAAAAUAAGUUCACAAUAUUUGGGAAAAUCUGAAAAUAGCAAAGAUUUGAGAAAGACAGGAGUUUUAGCAAAGAGCUGAGACACAGAGAGUUACAGCAAAAACCUGAGGCAGACAGAGUUUUAAGUUGAGGAAGGCAGAAUUUCUGCAAAGUGCUGAAGCAGACAUUACUUUUAACAAAGAGCUGAGACACAUACUUUGCUAAAAGAGCUGAGGAUUACAGAUUUUCAGCAAAGACCUGAAACACACAGAGUUUCAGCAAAGAGCUGAGGUAGACAGUAGUUUUGACAAAGAGCUGAGACAGACAUACUUUCCGCAAAAGAGCUGAUUCACACUGUAUUACAGUAUAUAACUGAGGCACAUACAGUUUCAGCAAGGAACUGAGGCAGACAGUUUAAGAGUCUUAAUAAAGAGCUGAGGGACACAAGAUUUCCAGCAAUGAGAUGAGGCACACAAGUUUCAGAAAAGAGCUGAGGCACACAAGAGUUUCAGCAAAGUGCUGAGGCAGACGAUUUAAGAGUUUUAACAAAAAGUUGAGGCACACAAGAUUUCCAGCAAAGAUCUGAGUCACACAAGAUUUCCAGAAAUGAACUGAGGCACACAAGAGUUCCAGCAAAGAGCUGAGGCACACAAGAAAUCCAGCAAAGAGCUGAGGAACACACAAGAGUUCCAGUAAGGAGCCAAGGCAUGCUAUGUUACAACAAAAAACAAAAUGAUGCGCCCAGAAAAGAUACUUAUUUAUGAAUAGCUGCCAUAAAAACUUCAAGGGAAAUUUAAGGUCAGUGGGAGCCAGGAGCUAUGUCAGAAUGACAGAUACACGAGAUGUUGCCAGCUGCAGAUGUACCUACCACAUAGUUAUGGUCCAACAAAGAUGCAUGGUUUUACUGAUGUACACCAUGAAAAAAAGACUUCCAAUAAUGUAGAGCCUAUACAGCCAUUUUCAUGUGUCACAGAUCACGGAUGCAGACACACAGAAUGUUAUUCUUAUGCUGGCAAGAUGUUUGCCACAUAUCGUACCCAAUGUACUGUUGGCUAAAAGAGAGGAGUUAAUCCCCCUAAUUAUCUGUACAGCAAUGUUACAUCCAGACAGUAAAGAGAGGGACAAGUUGCUCAAUAUUUUGUUCAAUCUAAUCAAGAAACCUGAUGAAGAACAGAGGUAAGGUCAACAUAGUUCAUUCUGUUGAAUAGAAUACUAUUUGAAAAAAAAAAGAUGAGAUAAACAUGAUUGUUCUAUCCUUGUUAU